GAAAUGCUUCUCUGGAGGAGGUUGUAAUGGCCUUAAAAUGUCGCGGAGAGCAAGUAUUAGGUGGCCUCUACACGGGGAUUAACACUCAACAUAUUGUUCCAUCGAGCAAAAUGGUGGAGGAGUACAGUGGGCUACAGGUGCAGCCACAUAAGGCCAUUGUUGGAGCUAAUGCAUUUGCUCAUGAAAGUGGCAUCCAUCAGGAUGGAAUGUUAAAACACAAAGA
rnacentral:misc_RNA from 1 species